GAUUGCAGAAGAGCCAGAGUGGAAAGACUGCAUUCAAGGUUCAGAUGGUGUUGUAAAUUUGGCUGGACUGCCCAUAAGUACAAGAUGGUCUUCUGAGAUAAAGAAGGAGAUUAAGCAAAGCAGGGUUGGAGUCACGUCAAAAAACUGUAGAUUUGAUAAAUGGUUCACCAGAUGGAGUUCGACCGAAAGUUUUGGUUAGUGCAACCGCCAUUGGUUAUUAUGGUCCGUUCCUAGCACCAAAUUCUUUUUUUUUUUUUUCCCUUUU